rnacentral:rRNA from 1 species
UCGGGGACGGAAAGCGGCGAAAGGGAGAGGAAUACGUAGAAAUCUACCCUUCGGGUCUGGGAUAGCGUCGGGAAACUGACGGUAAUACCGGAUAACGUCUUCGGGACCAAAGGUGUGACUCCACCUGAGGAUGAGUCUACGUCCUAUUAGCUAGUUGGCGGGGUAAUGGCCCACCAAGGGCAACGAUGGGUAGCGGGUGUGAGAGCAUGACCCGCCUCACUGGGACUGAGACACUGCCCCAGACACCUACGGGUGGCUGCAGUCGAGAAUCUUUGUCAAUGGACGAAAGUCUGAACAAGCGACGCCGCGUGCGGGAUGAAGGCCUUCGGGUUGUAAACCGCUGUCGUAGGGGAACAAAUGGUUUAGGGUACUCCCUUUACCUUGAGUGAUCCUAGGAGGAAGGACGGGCUAAGUUCGUGCCAGCAGCCGCGGUAAGACGAACCGUCCGAACGUUAUUCGGUAUCACUGGGCUUAAAGAGUUCGUAGGCGGCCAAGCAGGUCAGGUGUGAAAUCCCACAGCUCAACUGUGGAACUGCGCUUGAAACCGCAUGGCUCGAGGAAGAUAGAGGUAAGCGGAACAGAUGGUGGAGCGGUGAAAUGCGUUGAUAUCAUCUGGAACACCGGUGGCGAAAGCGGCUUACUGGAUCUUUUCUGACGCUGAGGAACGAAAGCUAGGGUAGCGAACGGGAUUAGAUACCCCGGUAGUCCUAGCCGUAAACGAUGAGCACUAGUCCGUGGGAACCCUCACAUUUUCUCGGACGUAG